rnacentral:tRNA from 1 species
GCGGUUGUAGCUCAGCUGGUUAGAGCACCAGAUUGUGGAUCUGGGGGUCGCGGGUUCAAAACCCGUCAAUCGCC